AGAACGAACGCUGGCGGCAGGCUUAACACAUGCAAGUCGAACGCGUGUAGCAAUACACGAGUGGCGCACGGGUGAGUAACGCGUGGAUAUCUGCCUUUUGGUUCGGAAUAACCCCGGGAAACUGGGGCUAAUACCGGAUGGUUCCUACGGGAUAAAGAUUUAUCGCCAAAAGAUGAGUCCGCGUCCGAUUAGCUAGUUGGUGGGGUAAUGGCCUACCAAGGCGACGAUCGGUAGCUGGUCUGAGAGGACGAUCAGCCACACUGGGACUGAGACACGGCCCAGACUCCUACGGGAGGCAGCAGUGGGGAAUAUUGGACAAUGGGCGCAAGCCUGAUCCAGCCAUGCCGCGUGAGUGAUGACGGCCUUAGGGUUGUAAAGCUCUUUCGCUAGGGACGAUAAUGACGGUACCUAGACAAGAAGCCCCGGCUAACUUCGCGCCAGCAGCCGC
rnacentral:rRNA from 1 species